UUGUGAGCAUUCAAGUUUAGUUUUUUGCACUUGCUUAGAAGCUGAAAUUGCGGACAUUGCGGGUUGGGCUUGAUGACAUUUGUUGCUCAGCUGCCGCGACGCAUUUGGAGCAAAGCUUCUGCUUAUUUCUUUUGGCCGCACCUUAUAUUUGUUGUCUUUGUCAACAUCUGACCUGUUUCUGCCUUGUUGAAAGCAAGUGGCCACAAGUACUACUUAGUUUGAACCUGGUAGUGCGUCCAGUUUAUCGCCGUGCACACGUGUGGGGCAUUUCCUUGUUCUUAUUCUGCUGAUGUGUCGUGUUGUACAGUCUGUUUCACACUUAGGG